ACAAGUAAUGAACGGAAAUUGACUAGUCAAAAAUGCCAAAACCUAGUCCUAAUGCCUCCGGCCGCCACAGCCCUCCACAUUUCCUUCCUCCUUUUGUCAAUUCCACCAAACACAAAUCUUUAUUACUCCAUAUCAAAAGAUUAUAAGGGGUUCUUUGGUGUUAUGCAAUGGAGAUGGCUAAUUGAUUUUUUUAAUUACACAAUGGAAAGGCAAAAAUGUUGUAUAUAUUUUAAGGGAUGGUUCCUCUUGUAUUACAUCUACAUCAACAAGAUCUUCAUAGCUGCUUUUGAUAUGUGAUUCAGGAGAUGCUUUUGAUGGAAUUAAUCUUGCUCUUUUUUUAAGGCAAAUUUAUGAAAUUACUAGAGCAGCAAUGACAAACUGGAGCGGAUAUUGAUCAAAUUAAGAUGCAAUUAGAGGUUGUGUAGGAGGAGAGAAAUCAGAAGAUCGUGCAGGUUCGAGUCUCAAGCAAUAUAAUGCUAUUGUAAUCGGUGGCAUAGAUGAAUUGUGUAUUGUGAAUGCUUGAAAUUUAGAUAUGUAACAACGUGUAACUUGAGACCUAUUUUGGAAUCCAAAAAUUUUGU